ACUACUAACUUCUUCUACGUUUUUUUAUUUAUGCCAUGUUCAAUGAUUAUUUUAUUACUGAUUAUUUGAAUGUUUUGUGUUUUAAUUUUUUAUUGAAUGAUUAUUUGAUUACACAAGUCUCUUUUUGGUUGUCA